UCUUUGAGUCGGUGAAGCUUAGCACAUUUGUCGCAUUUCUCAUAACGCCCAUCCGUACUGUCACCUUUCUGCUCCCACUGAGAAUUCAAGAACCACACUUGCGAUACCAACGCCUUGGUACUCUUUUCUUCAAUCUGCCGUCUAUUGAUCUCGUGACGUUUCAUUACCUUGAAUUCUUGAAAAUGGGCUUGAUUUUUUCCUCAACUGGUUAAGGAAAUGGAAGGGACCUCCAAAAUGCAGGGAAGACAUCAAGGUUGUUGCUACAGGUGGCUACAACAAGGAUAUGAUUCCAACUGUGGGAUUUAACAUGCGUAAAGUCACAAAAGGAAAUGUGAAGAUAAAACUUUGGGACUUGGGAGGCCAAGGGAGAUUUUGUUCCAUGUGGGAGCAAUAUUGUCGAGAUAUGUCGUCGAUGCUGCUGAUAGGGACAGCAUCCCUAUCUCUCAAAGUGACUUGCACGAUCUCUUGAAGAAACCUUCGUUAGGUGGGAUUCUCUACUCAUCCUUGGGAACAAAAUUGACAAAUUAGAGGCACUGUCAAAGCAAGCACUCGUUGAUCAGCUAGAUUUAAAUUCAAUCACAGAUAGGGAAGUAUGCUGCUAUAUGAUCUCUUGCAAGGAGGAGGUAGGACAUUAUUGCAGUCGCUCCCGUCUGGCUGUCCUCGUCGAUUUUGCAACUGUUGCAAGAAAUUAAAACCCAAGAAUUAGUAAACGGAGAGAUACCGUUGCAGAGCCGUGUAAACUUGAGGUGAGUGACUGGCGAAUUUAAUGACAUCUGGAGAUUGUCUGUCCCAUGUUUACUUAGGUAGCUGCAUUAUUGUAAGAACUUAGCAGAAAAAUUAUGUUGGGACGGUACAUCUUACCAUCAUA